AUCUAUAGAGACACAGCAGAGGUCAGUUCCUCAUAUCUAGAGCACUAACAGCCACAGCAGAGGUCAGUUCCUCAUAUCUAGAGCACUAACAGCCACAGCAGAGGUCAGUUCCUCAUAUCUAGAGCACUAACAGCCACAGCAGAGGUCAGUUCCUCAUAUCUAGAGCACUAACAGACGCUCACAUUAGGAACAUUUAAGGAGGUUCUGGUUCUGACAGUAAUUCCUCUUUAAGCUACUUUAAUCUGCACUAGAGACGUUCUGCAGGAUGAGAACUGGAGAUAGAACAGAUAUUCAGAUAGGACCGGUUCUGGUUCUGGAUCAGUGGGGUCUGUUCAGAGUGGCGUCUGUCUCGUGCUGCUGUUGGUCUGUCAGUGAACCACUCGUCCUCCAAUCAGACAUCAGCAGCAGCACUCAGCCCCCAUCACUGGCUGAGGUCCGUACCCCUGCGCUUCUCAUCAUCACAGACCCGAUCCUCCUCCAACUACCUGCAGCCAGUGGGCCGGCCCUACUGGGAGCUGUGGUUUCACCGGGACCGGGUUUACCUUUGUGAAGCCGAGCUCCAGCAUCAGUCUGUCGGCCACGAACUCGAUGUACUGUUUCAUCAGCCCGCAGUUCAUCCCAAUCAGCUUCACCGGCAGAGCCUCCGUCAGGAACUCCUGGACACACAAACGGGGAACCAUUAAAACCAUUAAGACCAGUAAAAGCAUCAGAACCAGUAAAACCAGGAUCUGCAUCAGGUUGAGGACCGACCUGCUCGAUCUCCACGGCGUUCUUGAUGAUGUUGGUGACGGUUUCUGACGACGGCUUGUUCACCAGGUGUUUGAACAUCAGACAGGCAAAGUCACAGUGCAGACCCUGAAACCAGUAACACACACACACACACACACACCGUUACACCCUGAAACCAGUAACACACACACUCUAAAUAUUGAUCAGAUGCUCCGAUCGAUAAUCAAUCACCUCGUCUCUGCUGAUCAGCUCGUUGGAGAAGGUCAGUCCGGGCAUCAGGCCUCUCUUCUUCAGCCAGAAGAUCGCAGCGAAGGAACCAGAGAAGAAGAUUCCCUCCACGGCGGCGAAGGCCACCACGCGCUCACCUGGAGGAACCACAGAGUCACGAUCAAUACCCGAUAGAAGAUCAAUACCAAACCCCAUCGAUCGGGAACAUCACGGCGAGCAGCUUUACCGUAGUUGGCGUUCUUGUUUCCGAUCCAGUUGAUCGCCCAGUCGGCCUUCUUCUUCACACACGGCAGAGUCUCGAUGGCGUUGAACAGGUAUUCCCUGUGGGUCAGUAAAGGCAGCGUCAGAGACCAGCACAGACCAGCAGGGUCCAGUACAGACCAGCAGGGUCCAGCACAGACCUGCAGGGUCCAGCACAGACCAGAACCAGAGCGCUGUCUCACCUCUCUUUGGGCUCCCUGAUGUAGGUGUUGAUGAGGAGGCUGUACAUCUCUGAGUGGAUGUUCUCCAUGGCGAUCUGGAAACCAUAGAAACACCUGGCCUCCGUCACCUGCACUUCCUGGGAGAAGCGCUCCACCUGGUGGUCAAACGGAGAACAAAGUCGGAGAGAAACUGU